GGGGGUAUAGCUCAAUGGUAGAGCAUUUGACUGCAGAUCGAGAGGUCCCAGGUUCAAACCCGUGUGUCCCCU
rnacentral:tRNA from 1 species